rnacentral:rRNA from 1 species
UACGAAGGGGGCUAGCGUUGCUCGGAAUUAUUGGGCGUAAAGAGCUCGUAGGCGGUGUGUCGCGUCGGCCGUGAAAACCUGGGGCUUAACUCUGGGCGUGCGGUCGAUACGGGCAUCACUAGAGUUCGGCAGGGGAGACUGGAAUUCCUGGUGUAGCGGUGAAAUGCGCAGAUAUCAGGAGGAACACCGGUGGCGAAGGCGGGUCUCUGGGCCGAUACUGACGCUGAGGAGCGAAAGCAUGGGUAGCGAACAGG